rnacentral:rRNA from 1 species
GAUGAACGCUGGCGGCGUGCCUAAUACAUGCAAGUCGAGCGAACAGACCAGGAGCUUGCUCCUCUGACGUUAGCGGCGGACGGGUGAGUAACACGUGGAUAACCUACCUAUAAGACUGGGAUAACUUCGGGAAACCGGAGCUAAUACCGGAUAAUAUAUUGAACCGCAUGGUUCAAUAGUGAAAGACGGUUUUGCUGUCACUUAUAGAUGGAUCCGCGCCGCAUUAGCUAGUUGGUUAGGUAACGGCUUACCAAGGCUACGAGGCGUAGCCGACCUGAGAGGGUGAUCGGCCACACUGGAACUGAGACACGGUCCAGACUCCGACGGUAGGCCGCAGUAGGGAAUCUUCCGCAAUGGGCGAAAGCCUGACGGAGCAACGCCGCGUGAGUGAUGAAGGUCUUCGGAUCGUAAAACUCUGUUAUUAGGGAAGAACAAAUGUGUAAGUAACUAUGCACGUCUUGACGGUACCUAAUCAGAAAGCCACGGCUAACUACGUG